AUUUUAAAAAGAUUUGGAUUAAUAUUACUUCCUUUUUAUUUGUCUUUUGUAUAAUCUGAAUUGAUGCCUUCUUUUCGCUGCUGUUUCCCUUUCUUCGAAUUAAGCUUCUCAAAAACCAAAGAACCGAUUAAAGAUGAUGAGCAAAAGGGCUGCUGUUUCUGCAAUUCAUCUCAUUCAUACAAGAGGAUUUCUCAAUCGAUGGUCGCAUCUAUCGGGAAAAUUUAAAUUAUCACGUGGGAUUUUUACUCCGGUUCAGUUGUCAAGAAGUGAUUCAUAGAAUGCUAAGAGUGAUAUAUACUCGAAGGGAGUUCCACCGUCGGGUGGUCUUGCUGCACUGUGUCUUGUGCUAGUAUGAAUCCAUCGGCUUUGAGUUUCUCAUCUUGUUGUUACUUUACAAGAAUUUGCGUGUGAUGAAUUAACUCCGUGUUGUGAUUUCACUGUUUUCCAUCUUCACUAGUGUUGUGUCUUAUGAAUAAUUUGAUACUGAUUUUGACAUUUUGUGUUCUUCAACAGCCAUUUUUGCUACUUGGAAGAGUUUAGCCUUUUGAUUUU